rnacentral:rRNA from 1 species
UGCCAGCCGCCGCGGUAAUACGGAGGGUGCAAGCGUUGCUCGGAAUCACUGGGCGUAAAGCGAACGCAGGCGGAUCGUUAAGUUGGGUGUGAAAGCCCGGGGCUCAACCCCGGAACUGCAUUCAAAACUGGCGGUUUUGAGUACGGGAGAGGGAAGUGGAAUUCCUGGUGUAGAGGUGAAAUUCGUAGAUAUCAGGAGGAACACCAGUGGCGAAGGCGGCUCACUGGCUCGAUACUGACGCUGAGGUACGAAAGUGUGGGGAGCAAACAGGAUUAGAUA